UUCGGUUAAUGAAUUGUUGACAUAUCCCGACGAUUUUGGUCAUAACUUUUAUUCCGUAAUUCCGAUUUUAAUGUUGUUUGAAGUGUUAGAAAGUUAAUGCUAAUACAUAUAAUAUGGUAGUGGAUGUUGAUAUGUUUUAAUAAUAUUAACAUGCCUAGUAUGUUAAUAUAAGUAUUUGUUUAUACGUUUGGUUGAUGAAUCGUUGCAUUGUUGUAAUAUCGUGGUGUGAUAAUUAUGUUGUUAUAUCGGUGAUGUUAAG
rnacentral:lncRNA from 1 species